AUAGGUCUCAUAUUGUCCGGUCUGCCUGCCCACUGAAAUUUUUAAAUGGCCGCAGUAUCCUAACUGUGCAAAGGUAGCAUAAUCAUUAGUCUUUUAAUUGAAGGCUGGAAUGAAUGGUUGAACGAAACAUUAACUGUUUCAUAUAAAUUUAAAAUAAAACUUUAUUUUUUAGUAAAAAAGCUAAAAUAAUUUUAAAAGACGAGAAGACCCUAUGAAUCUUUAUAUUUAUUUUAUUUUAAUUAUAAAGGUUUAUUUUAUUAUAAUAAAUUUAAAUAUUUUAUUGGGGUGAUAUUAAAAUUUGAUAAACUUUUAAUUUAAAAAGUCAUUAAUUUAUGAAUUUUUGAUCCAAUUGUAUUGAUUAUAAAUUUAAGUUACUCUAGGGAUAACAGCGUAAUUUUUUUGGAGAGUUCUUAUCGAUAAAAAAGAUUGCGACCUCGAUGUUGGAUUAAGAGAUAAAUUUGGGCGCAGUUGUUCAAAAAUUAAGUCUGUUCGACUUUUAAAUUCUUACGUGAUCUGAUUUCAGACCGGACUUCCG
rnacentral:rRNA from 1 species